AAACUGUGUUGUGGACAUGAACUGAGAAGAUCCUUGAACCGCUCCCAACAUUAGAAGAAUGUUUCAUCCUCUUUUUGGGCGAAGAUCAUACUUAACUUCUAAGGGU